AUACGGAGGAUGCAAGCGUUAUCCGGAUUUAUUGGGUUUAAAGGGUGCGCAGGCGGCGCGAUAAGUCAGCGGUGAAAGGUCCCGGCUCAACCGGGGAGCUGCCGUUGAUACUGUUGUGCUGGAGUGCGGACGGCGCCGGCGGAAUGUGUCAUGUAGCGGUGACAUGCUUAGAGAUGACACAGAACACCGAUCGCGAAGGCGGCUGGCGAGGCCGUUACUGACGCUGAGGCACGAAAGCGUGGGGAGCAAACAGGAUUAGAUACCCUGGUAGUCCACGCAGUAAACGAUGGGGACUUGUUGUCGGCGAUAGACAGUCGGUGACAAAGCGAAAGCGAUAAGUCCCCCACCUGGGGAGUACGAUCGCAAGGUUGAAACUCAAAUGAAUUGACGGGG
rnacentral:rRNA from 1 species